UAAAAUUCAUACCCAUAUUGCCUGAACAAAGAACAUUCCUAAACCGUAUACAUUUUACGUGAGUGAUCUAGGCUCCUGUUAUUGUAAACAUUAUUAUGAUGAUAAUUUUAAUCAUUAAGUAUAAUUCAUUGUUAUUAUUGAGAAUAAAUUACCCGCUUAAUGUGAAAGAGUUCCACAGUAUUUAACUUGUUAUAUGAAAUUCUAUUUGAUGUCGAUGUAGUUCUUACCAUCUAUAGUUAAUUUAUGUAUGUAAUAGUUAUCUGAAGGUCAUAACAUUCUUUGAGAAGAUUAAAUCAUUUUACCUUUUAAAAGUGUUGCUGUAUCCUAAAAUGUUAAUAAGUAAAAGUAUAGCUCAUUAUUUAAUUAUUUGUCUUCUAUACCAGAAAACGAGUGCAGAGGCAGAGAGUGCAAACGAUAAAUUAGAUCUGCAAGUCAGGAUGCUGAAUGGGCUAUUGAAACGAAAAGAUAUUCAUAAUGAAGAAUGCAAACUGUUUCUACAAACAGUCGGUAAUGACAUAAGAGCGUAUUCAGAUCUUAUCAAACGAUGCAAAGACAAAAAUAACACGUCCCUUAAAAGCAUCUGCAAGCAAACUUUGCCAAUAUUCAAAACAACGUUUGGUUAUUACAGUGACAUUACCAGCAAAAUAUGUAAAUGAAAUGUAAUAUAAUAAUAAAAUUCGUUGCAAAGAUGUAA